AGGGUUUGAUCCUGGCUCAGAUUGAACGCUGGCGGAAUGCUUUACACAUGCAAGUCGAACGGCAGCACGGACUUCGGUCUGGUGGCGAGUGGCGAACGGGUGAGUAAUGUAUCGGAACGUAUCCAGUAAUGGGGGAUAACUAAUCGAAAGGUUGGCUAAUACCGCAUACGCCCUACGGGGGAAAGCAGGGGAUCUUCGGACCUUGCGUUAAUGGAGCGGCCGAUAUCUGAUUAGCUAGUUGGUGAGGUAAGAGCUCACCAAGGCGACGAUCAGUAGCUGGUCUGAGAGGACGACCAGCCACACUGGAACUGAGACACGGUCCAGACUCCUACGGGAGGCAGCAGUGGGGAAUUUUGGACAAUGGGCGCAAGCCUGAUCCAGCCAUUCCGCGUGAGUGAAGAAGGCCUUCGGGUUGUAAAGCUCUUUCGCAAGGGAAGAAACGAUGCAGACGAAUAAUCUGUGUUAAUGACGGUACCUUGAUAAGAAGCACCGGCUAACUACGUGCCAGCAGCCGCGGUAAUACGUAGGGUGCAAGCGUUAAUCGGAAUUACUGGGCGUAAAGCGUGCGCAGGCGGUUUUGUAAGUCAGAUGUGAAAUCCCCGAGCUCAACUUGGGAACUGCGUUUGAAACUAC
rnacentral:rRNA from 1 species